rnacentral:rRNA from 1 species
GACGAACGCUGGCGGCGUGCUUAACACAUGCCAGUCGAACGGAAAGGCCUUGCUUGUGUGGGGUGCUCGAGUGGCGAACGUGUGAGUAACACGGGAGUAAUCUGGCCUGGACUUUGUGAUAACUUCAGGAAACUGGCGCUAAUACCGGAUAGCUGCUCCUGCUGCAUGGUGGGGGUUGGAAUGUUUCGGUGGGUGGGGAUGGACUCGCGGCUGAUGAGCUUGUGGUGGGGGUAGUGGUUUACCAAGGCUAUGACGGGUAGCAGGCCUGGGCGGGUCAGCGGAAACACUGGGACUGGAAUGCGGCACAGACUACUCCGGGAGGGAGCAGAGGAGAAUAUUACACAAUGGGAGGAAGCCUGAUGUAGCGAAGCCGCGCGGGGGAUAACGGCAUUCGGGUUGGAAACCGCUUUUGCCUCAGCAGAAGAGAGAGUGACGGUACUGGGUAAAGAAGCCCCGGCUAACUACGUG